rnacentral:lncRNA from 1 species
UGGAAACACCUUCUGGCAUCUCUGGCCAUUUCGUUUCUUUAUAAAACACUAAGCCCACUGGUCUUUUGAUCGGAGAAAAGAUGGAAAUGAUGUCUACCGUCCAUACGACGUCGUAUCCUCUUCUCCUCCCAGCACGUACGGGUCGGAGGUUUCCUAGCGUAGUAGUUCGAGCAGUGCUGUCCAGACCGUCGGAGAAUUUCGGCAGUAAGGGGAAGAAGAUGAGCAAGAGCUCAGUACACGUUGCGACCACCACUGCUGACGAUUUCUUGUCAACGGGGGUAUCAUCGUCGCCCCCUCAGCAGCAGCAGCCGACGAAGAAAACGGAGUAUCAUG